UGAAGUGAUGAUGGCAAAGAGGCCACACCUGUUCCCAUCCCGAACACAGAAGUUAAGCUCUUUAGCGCCGAUGGUAGUUGGGGGCUUCCCCCUGCGAGAGUAGGACAUCGCUUCGC
rnacentral:rRNA from 1 species